CCUACGGGAGGCAGCAGUGAGGAAUAUUGGUCAAUGGGCGUAAGCCUGAACCAGCCAAGUCGCGUGAGGGCUGAAGGUUCUAUGGAUCGUAAACCUCUUUUAUAAGGGAAUAAAGUGUGGGACGUGUCCUAUUUUGUAUGUACCUUAUGAAUAAGGAUCGGCUAACUCCGUGCCAGCAGCCGCGGUAAUACGGAGGAUCCGAGCGUUAUCCGGAUUUAUUGGGUUUAAAGGGUGCGUAGGCGGCCGUUUAAGGCAGCGGUGAAAGUCUGUGUCUCAACCAUAGACUUGCCGUUGAAACUGGGGGGCUUGAGUAUGGUUGAGGCAGGCGGAAUGCGUGGUGUAGCGGUGAAAUGCUUAGAUAUCACGCAGAACCCCGAUUGCGAAGGCAGCCGGCCAAGCCAUGACUGACGCUGAUGCACGAAAGCGUGGGGAUCAAACAGGAUUAGAUACCCGGGUAGUG
rnacentral:rRNA from 1 species